UACCGCGUGGACUAGAGGUUAGGAUUCCUGGCUCUCACCCAGGCGGCCCGGGUUCGACUCCCGGCGCGGGAG
rnacentral:tRNA from 1 species